rnacentral:lncRNA from 1 species
UACGUGUUCCAAAGCUACAGAGAUGCCUUUCAGGACAGCCGUGUUCUUCGCAUUAAUGUUGGGCGCCCUUGCUGAAUCUGGCCCCAGAUACAGUCCUCCUGCCCCGUCGUACCACGCUCCUGCACCAGCGCCAUCGGGGCCUGCACAGUACGACUUCAACUAUGCUGUACAAGAUAACGUUGGA